rnacentral:rRNA from 1 species
CCGACAGGCGUAGGCGAUGGAUAACGGGUUGAUAUUCCCGUACCCGUGCGCAUGCGUCCAUGGUGAAACGGUUGAGACUAACCAUCCGCUGGCUGUGUGAGUCUUCGGACGAGCGUAGUUGGUGCAUGGGACCUGAUUCCGCGGUAGUCAAGUGAUGGGGUGACGCAGGAGGGUAGCUCUGCCAGUGAGUGGUAGUACUGGUGUAAGCCUGUAGCCCGGUGUGUAGGUAAAUCCGCGCACCAUUGGGGUGAGGGGUGAUGCGUAGCCGUGGUGGUGAAGUGAGUGACCCCAUGCUGCCGAGAAAAGCCUCUAGCGAGUGUGUGCAUGGCCCGUACCCGAAACCGACUCUGG